UUAUGGACGAUUCAAUCCAAAAUAAACUUUCUUGAAGACAAAAAUACCAAUCAUCAAAUGUUUCUUCGUGAUUCUUCAUUUUCAUGUCAUGAACCAGCUCUCCGGAGCGGAGAAAAACUCUUAAAACUUACUCUCGUCGCAUCAAUGGAAGUCCAAUCCUCAAACCUAUCACACAAACACUCGAUCCUACUUGAAAAACCUAAAUCAUCAUCAUCAAUUCAUCUUCUUGAAGAUUAGUUGACGAAAUUUAGUUUUUAGGGAAGUUCGUUGAAGGCGAUUGAAAGAUAAGUUGAAUCGAGUCUUACAUUUUAAUUUAACUGUUAGUUUACCGGUUUUGAAAUCGAUUCAGAAAAAAAAUUAACGGUUUCAAAAAUCUAAUUUCUUUGAUUUCAUUUCGAAUUUCUUAUCCGAUUAAUAAUAAGAGUUUAGAUCUAUAAUCGUCUCAUCUUAAGCUACUUAUCUCUGGAGCUCUCUAUUCCUGAAUCUGUUUUUCGUCAAUGGAAACCAUCUGAAACGUGUUUUUCUUCUGGGACAUGUACAAGUAAUCACAUAUCAUUCCUAAUCUCUUAUUGCUUGUAUUUUGUACAAUGAUGUAAAACUGAUAGGAAAACAAGAGAUGAUACUAAUUUUUGGAACCAUUUAUUCGGGAAUCAAAUAUGUGUCUUGUGAUUAUUUGUACGACCGGAAGAGAUGAUGGUGGAGGAUGUCAUCAAGCCAGGGAGAUAUAAUUCAGGAUUGGUACUGACUUUACAUUUGAGGUAAUUAACCCGAUCAUUAAUUAUUUUACAGAGAAUUGUUAGGUUUCCAUAUAACCAUGUUUAUUCACUUAAGUGGUGAUAUACUGAUUUUUGAAAUUGUAAAUGCUACAAAGAUUAACAGACUCUUAUAUUUAUUUAUAGCUUACAUGAUUAAGUAGUUUUGGUUUAACGUGGAGAUCCAUGACUUCUCAUCAGUACAUGUGUAUCCAUAUUUUAGCAAUUGGUCAUUCCUUCAAAUUUACAUAACGUGAAAGAGAUUCAUGGUAGCUUUAGAAACAGGGGCUUGGGUUGGAUCAGAUUAAGAAAAUUUUGUCAGUUUUUUAGCUCAAGUCAUUUCGAAUGCUAUCUGUGUAAGUGCGAACGGUAGUAUUGGUGCUUGGCGUGUGCGGCAGAAGUAGAUUAUCCUAACAAGAUGGGAUUUUUAAGAUGAUACUCGGGACUCGCAUCUACUUGAGGCAGUGUUUAUACACAUGGUAGCAGCGUCUUAUCUCCUCUGUUUCAACAGUUCGAUAUAUAGCCUUAUGAUUUGCUUAUUGGUAACAGCUUACAGUAGUGAACCAGAUUUUCCCCGAUAGUCAUCAUUUUAGCCUUUUUUUCUUAAGAUCACAGUAGUGAACUGGAUUUUGCCGGACGGUCAUUUUUAUAAUCAUUUUAGCCUUUUUUUUUUAUUUAUUUAUGAUCACUGAUUGGAGAUAACAUUUUAUUAUGCCAGUUAGGAGUGCAGAUUUGGUUUGUGGCUAUUAGGUAUUCCAUAUAAUUUUACACCCGUUGAUCGUAUUUAUGCACAUCGUUAUACCCCGUUGAUUGUUAAUGUGUACAUAAUUGUACACAUGUUGUCUUUUAAUGUGCACAUAGUUGUACACCUGUUCAUUCUCAAUGUGUACUUAAUUGUACACAUAUGUUGAUUUUAAGUCGCUCCGCCUAACAUUGAAGUCGGUUCAUACCUCUUGGUCACAUGCUGGAGAGGUCUGUGCAUAUGAUUUUGUAUAGAAGAGUUGGGUAAGCUCAGAUGAUGAGUUGUCUCACCGUUUAACUCUGAGGAUGAGUUGAAGAUGAUGACGAAUGUUGUGAGCACAUUUGCCUUUGGAAGUGACCUCAGUUUAUGUUGCUAUGCUUGCAGCCCAAAAUACUGCAACACGGUGCAAGGUGCGUACGAAGUAGUGCAUGUGAAAAAAUGACUCCGUAAGCUUAUGUCUCGGAAAUAGCGUUAGUGGUGCUUAGGUGGACGAUUCAAGUUGUAGGUGGACGAUUCAAGUUGUACGAAGUAGUGCACCUUGUCUUGUCUUUAGAUUUUCUGUAUUUUUUUUAGAUGUGUACACCAUUAUAAACUAAGAUUUAAAAAAAAUGAGAAUUAUACAGUCAUAUGGGUACUCAUUUCACAGCUAUCGGAAAGAGCUUUCCAAAUAUAUAAAGUUAGCAAA